rnacentral:rRNA from 1 species
GAUGAGCAUGCGUCCCAUUAGCUUGUUGGUAAGGUAACGGCUUACCAAGGCAACGAUGGGUAGGGGUCCUGAGAGGGAGAUCCCCCACACUGGUACUGAGACACGGACCAGACUCCUACGGGAGGCAGCAGUGAGGAAUAUUGGUCAAUGGGCGCAAGCCUGAACCAGCCAUGCCGCGUGCAGGAUGACGGUCCUAUGGAUUGUAAACUGCUUUUGUACAGGAAGAAACAUCUCUACGUGUAGAGACUUGACGGUACUGUAAGAAUAAGGAUCGGCUAACUCCGUGCCAGCAGCCGCGGUAAUACGGAGGAUCCAAGCGUUAUCCGGAAUCAUUGGGUUUAAAGGGUCCGUAGGCGGUUUUGUAAGUCAGUGGUGAAAGCCCAUCGCUCAACGGUGGAACGGCCAUUGAUACUGCAAGACUUGAAUUAUUGGGAAGUAACUAGAAUAUGUAGUGUAGCGGUGAAAUGCUUAGAGAUUACAUGGAAUACCAAUUGCGAAGGCAGGUUACUACCAAUAUAUUGACGCUGAUGG